rnacentral:rRNA from 1 species
GUAGGUGGCAAGCGUUGUCCGGAAUUAUCGGGCGUAAAGCGCGCGCAGGCGGUCCUUUAAGUCUGAUGUGAAAGCCCACGGCUCAACCGUGGAGGGUCAUUGGAAACUGGGGGACUUGAGUACAGAAGAGGAAAGCGGAAUUCCAAGUGUAGCGGUGAAAUGCGUAGAGAUUUGGAGGAACACCAGUGGCGAAGGCGGCUUUCUGGUCUGUAACUGACGCUGAGGCGCGAAAGCGUGGGGAGCAAACAGGGAUUAGAUACCCUGGUAGUCCACGCCGUAAACGAUGAGUGCUAAGUGUUAGGGGGUUUCCCGCCCCUUAGUGCUGCAGCUAACGCAUUAAGCACUCCGCCUGGGGAGUACGGCCGCAAGGCUG